CACGAACCGUACGAACGUUAUUCGGAAUUACUGGGCUUAAAGGGUUUGUAGGCGGCCAUGUAAGUCGGGUGUGAAAUCCCUCGGCUCAACCGAGGAAUGGCGCCCGAUACUGCACGGCUUGAGGGAGACAGGGGUAAGCGGAACUGAUGGUGGAGCGGUGAAAUGCGUUGAUAUCAUCAGGAACACCGGUGGCGAAAGCGGCUUACUGGGUCUCUUCUGACGCUGAGGAACGAAAGCUAGGGUAGCGAACGGG
rnacentral:rRNA from 1 species